rnacentral:tRNA from 1 species
GCCUGGGUGGCUCAGUCGGUUGAGCGUCCGACUUCGGCUCAGGUCACGAUCUCGCGGUCCGUGGGUUCGAGCCCCGCAUCGGGCU